rnacentral:rRNA from 1 species
AGUGAACGCUGGCGGUAGGCCUAACACAUGCAAGUCGAACGGCAGCACAGUAAGAGCUUGCUCUUACGGGUGGCGAGUGGCGGACGGGUGCGGAAUACAUCGGAAUCUACUUUUUCGUGGGGGCUAACGUAGGGAAACUUACGCUAAUACCGCAUACGACCUACGUGUGAAAGCAGGGGAUCUUCGGACCUUGCGCGAUUGAAUGAGCCGAUGUCGGAUUAUCUAGUUGGCGGGGUAAAGGCCCACCAAGGCGACGAUCCGUAGCUGGUCUGAGAGGGUGAUCAGACACACUGGAACUGAGACACGGUCCAGACUCCUACGGGAGGCAGCAGUGGGGAAUAUUAGACAAAGGGCGCAAGCCUGAUCCAGCCAUACCGCGUGGGUGAAGAAGGCCUUCGGGUUGUAAAGCCCUUUUGUUGGGAAAGAAAAGCAGCAGGUUAAUACCCCGCUGUUCUGACGGUACCCAAAGAAUAAGCACCGGCUAACUUCGUG